rfam:Ciona savignyi cont_35598, whole genome shotgun sequence.
GUCAGGAUGGCCGAGUGGUCUAAGGCGCCAGACUCAAGAACAGAGGUUCUUCGCCGACAUGAGGUGUUGAGUAUUCUGGUCUCCGAAUGGAGGCGUGGGUUCGAAUCCCACUUCUGACA